GACGAACGCUGGCGGCGUGCUUAACACAUGCAAGUGGUGCGACGAACCAGGGCUUGCCCUGGGGCAAAGCCGCGAACGGGUGAGUAACACGUGAGUAAUCUGCCCCGAUGACCGGGACAACCCGAGGAAACUCGGGCUAAUACCGGAUGUGGUGCACAGGCGUAAGCCUGUUCACUAAAGGAAGCUUCGGCCUCCGCAUUGGGAGGAGCUCGCGGCCCAUUAGCUUGUUGGUGGGGUAACGGCCUACCAAGGCAACGAUGGGUAGCUGGUCUGAGAGGACGAUCAGCCACACUGGGACUGAGACACGGCCCAGACUCCUACGGGAGGCAGCAGUGGGGAAUCUUGCGCAAUGCGCGAAAGCGUGACGCAGCAACGCCGCGUGGGGGAAGACGGCCUUAGGGUUGUAAAGCUCUUUCAGCUGGGAAGAUAAUGACGGUACCAGCAGAAGAAGCCCCGGCUAACUCCGUGCCAGCAGCCGCAGUAAAAC
rnacentral:rRNA from 1 species